rnacentral:lncRNA from 1 species
AUGGGUCAUCACAAGAUGGCAGACGCAACUCCUGCAACUUCUGCUCAACCAGUCAGCAACAACACCAUAUCCUGUCCCAUUCAUCAAAGGCCACACAGCCUAGCUGAAUGCAGAGAGUUCGCAAAGAAGCCUUACAAAGAACAACUCCAAAUAAUUCAAAAGGCCAAGGUGUGCUUUAGAUGCUGCGGCGCCACUAUUCACUUCUCCAAAGACUGCAAAGAAAAGGUUAAAUGCCAACACUGCAACAGCAUCAAGCAUUGCUCUGCAAUGCACAACUUCGAUUCCCCUCAAUUCAAAGCAAAGUCAAAUUCUCCUGCCAAAGAAGAAACCAAAGAAGACCAAAAGCCUACAGAACCUCAGGUAGCCCUCAAGGCUCCUGCGGUUGCCUGCACCAAGCUUUGUCAAAAUAGCCACAAGCCAAGGAUUUGCCACCCAAUCUGCCUGGCAGAGGUGUAUCCAGACAAGCAGCCGUGGAAUAAGAAAAGGGUCUACGUCGCCUUGGAUGCCCAAAGUGACGCAUCUCUUGCAACCCCAGAGUUCUUCGACAUGUUCAACCUUCAUACCGAGACAAUAGAUUACACCAUAUCCACUUGUUCUGGAAAGAAUAAGAUGAAUGGCAGAGUUGCAACAAAGUUCAAAAUCUCGCCUGUUGGACAAAAGGUCAGGUACGAUCUUCCUGACCUUAUAGAAUGCAGCCUGAUUCCCAGGAACAAAGAACAGAUAGCCACGAAGGAGGUGGUACAAGCCCAUCCUCAUCUCAAAGGUAUUCAAGAUCUAAUACCAGCUUUGGACUUGGAAACAGACAUCGUCAUGCUUAUCGGUGCAGAUUGUCCCACACUGUUCCGUGUUAGCAACCAGAUUGAAGGUCCUAAGGGAUCACCCAUGGCCCAGCAGUUGCCUUUAGGAUGGACAGUGUUAGGCCCAGUCUGCCUGAACAAGAUGUUCCAGCCUGUCACUAAAAGGCCUUCACUAAUGCAAGGAAGUGCCAGCCACAUCUCAGUUUGCUGCCAGGGAGUAAUGCCCGAUUACUCUUCCAUCUUCAAAGUCACAGAGAGAGAUGAGCAAACAGCCUUCUCUAAAAAUGAACAGAAGUUCCUUGAGAUGAUGAACAGCCAAGUCACUCAAGACUCUGAAGAUAAUUGGAUAGCACCUUUACCUUUCAAGCCGGUAAGACCAUCUCUACCCAACAACAGAGAUGUUGCCCAUCAUCGUCUCCUGUCCUUAAGAAGAAGGAUGCUAAAGGAUCCGAAGGUGAAGACCCAGAUCACCCAGUUUGUGGAAGACCUCUUCAGAAGCAACUACGCUGAACCAGCCAGCAUGUGUGUGAAGAGAGAAGAGCAGUGGUUCCUGCCAUACCACAAAGGGACUCAUCCUCAGAAACCUGACGAAGCCCGUAUUGUUUUUGACGCUAGUGCAGAUGGCCAAGACUUAUCAAGGCAAGGUUUAAAUCCAGCCAAGUUUGAAAGAUUUUCAAAACGGACUAGACUUCAGGCAGCCAUUGCCAGGCUCAUACAUUACAUCACUACAAAAAACAGUGGUGCAAUUCAGCCCCAAGAUCUUUCAAAAGCCUCAACAGUCAUCCUGAGAUCCACUCAAAGACAGUGUUAUUUAGAAGAAAUAGCUUGUCUAGAAAGAAAAGCUUCCUUGCCCAAAAAUAGUUGUUUAAAGGACUUGAACCCCUUCCUGGACAAUGAGGGUCUCCUUAGGGUUGGAGGUAGACUAAAAAGAGCAAAGAUUAGAUCCUGUGUUAAAAAUCCUGUUAUUUUGCCACACCAUAGCCACAUAGCUCUGCUGUUGACACAGCAUUUCCACACAAAAGUCAAACACCAAGGAAGGUCAUUUACAGAGUCUGCCCCAAAAAACUAUGGGUUUUGGAUUGUUAAGUGCCAACGUAAAGGUUGGGGAUUUGAUGUUACUUAA